rnacentral:lncRNA from 1 species
CGUGCGUAAGAAAUAGAGGAAGUGAUCUUCCUCUCAGACGUAAGGUGUAGGGUUGGUUCUAGGAUUUCAAUUCUAGAUUUUGUGAGAAAAAAAAUACAAGAGUGAGUCUUGUUCAAUCUCUCACACCAUCACUUCCUUGUAAAGCUUCAUCUUCUGAUCUAGAGGAGUUCGAGAGAUCCGAAGAAAGGAGCUUGGAUCAGCUAUCCAAAGCCUUCGAUGCGAGCUAGCACUCCUACGAAGGAAGAUCCGAUCAGGACUUCGAGUAGACGAUCUGUAGAGGUCGGAUGACUUGUGCAGCUACUAGACAUCAGCGAGAGCUUCUACCACACCUACCAGUAGCAG